rnacentral:rRNA from 1 species
CCCUUAGAUGUUCUGGGCCGCACGCGCGCUACACUGAUGAAUUCAACGAGCACUAACCUGUGCCGAAAGGUUCGGGUAAUCUUGUGAAAUUUCAUCGUGAUGGGGAUUGAUUAUUGCAAUUUUUAAUCAUAAACGAGGAAUGCCUAGUAAGCGUGAGUCAUCAGCUCACGUUGAUUACGUCCCUGCCCUUUGUACACACCGCCCGUCGCUCCUACCGAUUGGGUGUGCUGGUGAAAUGUUCGGAUCGGCCGUUUGUCGCGGUUUCCGCGGCUCGUGGCUGAGAAGUUCAUUAAACCCUCCCACCUAGAGGAAGGAGAAGUCGUAACA